GAUGAACGCUGGCGGCGUGCCUAAUACAUGCAAGUCGAGCGAACAGACGAGGAGCUUGCUCCUCUGACGUUAGCGGCGGACGGGUGAGUAACACGUGGAUAACCUACCUAUAAGACUGGGAUAACUUCGGGAAACCGGAGCUAAUACCGGAUAAUAUAUUGAACCGCAUGGUUCAAUAGUGAAAGACGGUUUUGCUGUCACUUAUAGAUGGAUCCGCGCCGCAUUAGCUAGUUGGUAAGGUAACGGCUUACCAAGGCAACGAUGCGUAGCCGACAUGAGAGGGUUAUCGGCCACACUGGAACGGAGACACGGUCCAGACUCCUACGGGAGGCAGCAGUAGGGAAUCUUCCGCAAUGGGCGAAAGCCUGACGGAGCAACGCCGCGUGAGUGAUGAAGGUCUUCGGAUCGUAAAACUCUGUUAUUAGGGAAGAACAAAUGUGUAAGUAACUAUGCACGUCUUGACGGUACCUAAUCAGAAAGCCACGGCUAACUACGUG
rnacentral:rRNA from 1 species